UUGAUUCAUUUGUUUCGUUACUCAGAAGGAGAUUCCGCCGGCGGCGUAGGCAAGAGUUUGGGUCCUCCGGCGGGCGCCUGGUUCCGGGACGCCGAGGCGCCGGGGCGGUCCCGCCGAAGCAACGUUGGGUAUGUUCACAGGGGUUUGGGAGUUGAUAACUCGGUAAUGAUCCCUCCGCUGGUUCACCAACGGAGA
rnacentral:misc_RNA from 1 species